CAGCACCGCGGUAAUACGUAGGUGGCAAGCGUUGUCCGGAAUUAUUGGGCGUAAAGGGCUCGCAGGCGGUUUCUUAAGUCUGAUGUGAAAGCCCCCGGCUCAACCGGGGAGGGUCAUUGGAAACUGGGAAACUUGAGUGCAGAAGAGGAGAGUGGAAUUCCACGUGUAGCGGUGAAAUGCGUAGAGAUGUGGAGGAACACCAGUGGCGAAGGCGACUCUCUGGUCUGUAACUGACGCUGAGGAGCGAAAGCGUGGGGAGCGAACAGGAUUAGAUACCCGAGUAGUCCCUGUCUCUUAUACA
rnacentral:rRNA from 1 species